rnacentral:rRNA from 1 species
UACAGAGGGAGCUAGCGUUGUUCGGAAUUACUGGGCGUAAAGCGCACGUAGGCGGCUUUUUAAGUCAGGGGUGAAAUCCCGGAGCUCAACUCCGGAACUGCCCUUGAAACUGGGAAGCUAGAAUCUUGGAGAGGCGAGUGGAAUUCCGAGUGUAGAGGUGAAAUUCGUAGAUAUUCGGAAGAACACCAGUGGCGAAGGCGACUCGCUGGACAAGUAUUGACGCUCAUGCACGAAAGCGUGGGGAGCAAACAGG